rnacentral:rRNA from 1 species
AGUCGAGCGGGGAAGGGUAGCUUGCUACCUAACCUAGCGGCGGACGGGUGAGUAAUGCUUAGGAAUCUGCCUAUUAGUGGGGGACAACAUUCCGAAAGGAAUGCUAAUACCGCAUACGCCCUACGGGGGGAAAGCAGGGGAUCUUCGGACCUUGCGCUAAUAGAUGAGCCUAAGUCAGAUUAGCUAGUUGGUGGGGUAAAGGCCUACCAAGGCGACGAUCUGUAGCGGGUCUGAGAGGAUGAUCCGCCACACUGGGACUGAGACACGGCCCAGACUCCUACGGGAGGCAGCAGUGGGGAAUAUUGGACAAUGGGCGAAAGCCUGAUCCAGCCAUGCCGCGUGUGUGAAGAAGGCCUUUUGGUUGUAAAGCACUUUAAGCGAGGAGGAGGCUACUUGGAUUAAUACUCUAGGAUAGUGGACGUUACUCGCAGAAUAAGCACCGGCUAACUCUGUGCCAGCAGCCGCGGUAAUACAGAGGGUGCGAGCGUUAAUCGGAUUUACUGGGCGUAAAGCGUGCGUAGGCGGCUUUUUAAGUCGGAUGUGAAAUCCCUGAGCUUAACUUAGGAAUUGCAUUCGAUACUGGGAAGCUAGAGUAUGGGAGAGGAUGGUAGAAUUCCAGGUGUAGCGGUGAAAUGCGUAGAGAUCUGGAGGAAUACCGAUGGCGAAGGCAGCCAUCUGGCCUAAUACUGACGCUGAGGUACGAAAGCAUGGGGAGCAAACAGGAUUAGAUACCCUGGUAGUCCAUGCCGUAAACGAUGUCUACUAGCCGUUGGGGCCUUUGAGGCUUUAGUGGCGCAGCUAACGCGAUAAGUAGACCGCCUGGGGAGUACGGUCGCAAGACUAAAACUCAAAUGAAUUGACGGGGGCCCGCACAAGCGGUGGAGCAUGUGGUUUAAUUCGAUGCAACGCGAAGAACCU